GGCUACUAUUGCUGAGUACAGAUGUGAUCAAAGGGAGGAUAGUAUCAGAAACUGCAGGAUGGACUAAUUACACUGAAAUUGCUCAUUUAUGUGAACAGGUGUCAAGGGUCUCAGAGCUGCCAUGGAGAUGGUUCAAGGUUAGAGUAUAAUCAAGGCAUUUUUUAGUUGGCUGAUAAAAGUUAUUCUCCCACAGAUAAUGUAUAGAUCUUUUCUUAAAUUAUUAUCAAUGUUAAUAGCAGAGUAUGACUUUUAAAGAAGAAUCUUGAGCUGCCCAGGUGAAAGCCUCCAUUCCAUUCUUGUUCUGCAUCUAGGUCAGUCAGUGGGAAGCGCAUAUGCUCCUACUGCAGUAACAUUCUGGGCAGAGGAGCCGCCAUGAUCAUCGAGUCCCUGGGUCUUUGUUAUCAUUUGCAUUGUUUUAAGUGUGUUGCCUGUGAGUGUGACCUCGGAGGCUCUUCCUCAGGAGCUGAAGUCAGAAUCAGAAACCACCAGCUGUACUGCAACGACUGCUAUCUCAGAUUCAAAUGUAAGAGAGCAAAUCAGAGAGAAAAUUUCCUGCCUUUUAAGGAGGCCACGGGUUCCCAUGCAUUUCCC
rnacentral:sRNA from 1 species